rnacentral:snRNA from 1 species
ACACUUACCUGGCAGGAGAGACACCAUGAUCAAGAGGGUAGUUUUCCCAGGAUGAUGUUUAUCUGUUGCACUCCGGAUGUGCUGAUCCCUGCGAUUUCCGCAAAUGCGUAAUUUGUGGUAGUGGGGACGGCAUUCAUACUCUCCCCUA